GUCUAUUAAAGUAGGAUACUCUAUUUUUAAUUGUCAUUUAUAUAGCUUUGGUUUCUGAUACCUAACGAGAUACCGCGCUGCUGACAAAUUUUUCUUAUAGUUUCUCUUGAAGAUAAGAUCAUAUCUUGAGGAUCUUUAUUUCCUUGUUUGUGAGUUUUUCGAAGAAGAUCAGUGUAUAUCUUUUGGUUUGGCUGGCAAGGCUUUAAAUAUGAGUCCUUAUUCAAGAAGGAAACUUAGGGUUUCACCUCUAUAUAAGCUAAUCUUCUCCAAGCAGCAAGGGUUGGCUUUUUCGUGCAUUUAUUCAAGCAGUUGGUGGGCAGCACGUUUUUGGGAGUAAGAACAGCUUUCUUGGAGCGUAUGUUCUGUUUCUUAUUCUUUGCAUUUAAUCCUGUUGGUAGCAAAGUAUCUGUUAGUUUAUCUCCUUCGUGAGUUGGUGUUUGAAUUGUAAGGGUGUAAGUGUGUU
rnacentral:lncRNA from 1 species